UUGAAGAGGCGUAGACCGUGGCGGUGUAGGUGGAAGCGGCGGUGGAGUAAGAGGAUGAGGUAGCCAACACUGUAUAUGUGUAUAUAUAUAUGUGUGUGUGUGUGUGUAUAUGUGUGUGUGUGUGUGUGUGUAUAUAUAUAUAUAUAUAUUGUAUUUUAAUUGUGGUAGCCCACAAAAUAUUGGGACAUAAAAAAGACAACUCUGUUCCGCAGAGUAGCUGUUGACAUUAUAGUUGUGCAGGCACUUUGUUGACUCUAGAGAACCUCGGCCAAUCGCACAUCCCCGUGACGGCGACUUUGCAUUCGUAUGUCAUCCAUAUCAACUUUCGAUGCCAGUUUCUGCACCUACCAUGGUGACCACGGGUAACGGGAAAUCAGGGUUCCAUUCCAUACAGGGACCCUGAGAAACGGCUACCACAUGGAAGGAAGGCAGCAGGUGCACAAAUGACUCACUCCCGACGUGGGAAGUUAGUGAUGACAAAUAACAAUACAGGACUCUUUAGAGGCCCUGUAAUUGCAAUGAGUCCACUUGAAAUCCUUUAACUCUGAUCAAUUGGAGUGAAGUCUGGUGCAGAGCCACUGACCCGUGCAUGCUGCAGCUGAAACUCCACU